rnacentral:tRNA from 1 species
AGUCUUAUGUUCAUAAUAUGAUAUCAAAUUGCAAAUUUGAUGGUGUAAAAAUUACUAAGACUU